rnacentral:tRNA from 2 species
GGGCGAUUGGCUCAGUCGGGAGAGCGCAUCCUUCACACGGAUGAGGUCACUGGUUCGAUCCCAGUAUCGCCCACCA